AAAAACUAAAUACAUUUUAAAAAACAAAACAAAAAACGGAUUUUAAAACAAGCUGAUAGUGAGGAACAUUUUUGAGACGUGAUUUCUGACGUCAUCAAUACGCUUUUAUUGUGAAGGAUUCUGCCUGAACCUGCUGCUGCUAGCGGAAGUGAAGCUUCUGCGAAGCACAACACAGCAUUAACUGAAAAGAGAGGCUAUGCACAACACACGAUUUGUAGCUGAUUAGGGAGGUCAGUGAUACCAUGUGGAAGUCACAUGAGCGACGAGGAUGAGGCAGAAACAACAAGGGGGCAGCUUGAGGAGUGAGCCGCUGCACAGUGACUGCAACAGGGAGGGUGUCUGCUGCUCGUAAAGGCCUUGCACAAGCAGCCCCCUGUGUCCCCUUAUCACUUAACAUUUACAAUGAACAGUACUACUCAGUCCCCUGCCACCAUAGAUGGGAAUGUGGCUGUCAGCUAUGUGCUGGUGCCAUUUCUCCUCAUUACCUUUGCUGGGAUAAUUGCAGCUGUGGUAA